rnacentral:rRNA from 1 species
GAUAAACGCUGGCGGCGUGCCUAACACAUGCAAGUCGAACGCCCUUUUGCGCAAGUGAGAGGGAGUGGCGGACGGGUGAGUACCACGUGGGUACCUACCUUGAGGUGAGGAAUACCACCGAGAAAUCGGUGACAAGACCGCAUACGCUUGGCAACAAGCAAAGUCUCGCAAGAGACGCCACAAGAUGGGCCUGCGCCUUAUUAGCUAGUUGGUGAGGUAAUGGCUCACCAAGGCGACGAUCAGUAGCUGGUCUGAGAGGAUGAUCAGCCACACUGGGAUUGAGAACGGCCAGACUCCUACGGGAGGCAGCAGUGGGGAAUCUUGCGCAAUGGGCGGAAGCCUGACGCAGCAACGCCGC